AUCUUAGAAGAAGACUAGAUCCUCUAUAUCUUUGCUGGUCUUAGCAUUGAAUAUGAUUCUGUGGUUUCAGUUAUCACUUCUAAA
rfam:Vitis vinifera, whole genome shotgun sequence of line PN40024, unoriented chromosome 9, chr9